GGACCUGUAGUUUAAUGGAUAAAAUUUCCGGUUUCGGCCCGGUUGAUGGAGGUUCGAUUCCUCCCAGGUUCA
rnacentral:tRNA from 1 species